rnacentral:rRNA from 1 species
AGCAGCCGCGGUAAUUCCAGCUCCAAUAGCGUAUAUUAAAGUUGCUGCAGUUAAAAAGCUCGUAGUUGAAUUUCGGGACCAAUAUGUCGGUCGUGCCUCGGUACGUACUGGCAUCGUUGGUUUCUCCCUUCUGACGAACCAUGAUGUCAUUUAUUUGGUGUCGUGGGGAAUCAGGACUGUUACUUUGAAAAAAUUAGAGUGUUUAAAGCAGGCUCACGCUUGAAUACAUUAGCAUGGAAUAAUGAAAUAGGACGUUUGAUUCUAUUUUGUUGGUUUCUAGGAUUGACGUAAUGAUUAAUAGGGAUAGUUGGGGGCAUUAGUAUUCAAUUGUCAGAGGUGAAAUUCUUGGAUUUAUUGAAGACUAACUACUGCGAAAGCAUUUGCCAAGGAUGUUUUCAUUAAUCAAGAACGAAAGUUAGGGGAUCGAAGACGAUCAGAUACCGUCGUAGUCUUAACCAUAAACUAUGCCGACUAGGGAUCGGAUGAUGUUAAUUUUUAAUGACUCAUUCGGCGCCUUAAC